rnacentral:tRNA from 8 species
GCCUCUGUAGCUCAGUUGGUAGAGCAGCGGACUGAAAAUCCGCGUGUCGCUGGUUCGAUUCCGGCCGGAGGCACCA